CCUCUCCUCCUUCCAGUGUGCUGACUGCACCACACAGCUUGGUGUUGUCCACAAACCUGAUUGAGGGUGCACUCAGUCCCACUGUCCAUGUCACUAACAAAAACAUUAAAGAGCACCAGUCCCAGUACCAACCCCUGACGAACACCACUCAUCACCAAUCUCCGCUCAGACAUUGAGACCUUGCCUGCAACUCUUUCAGUGAGACCAGACAGCCAAUUCCUUACCCACCAAGUGGUCCAUCUGUCAAAUCCAUGUCUCUCCAAUGUAGAGAAAAGGAUCCUGUGUGGAAUACUGUCAAAUGCUUUGCUCAAGUGCAGCUAGAUGACAUCAGUUGCUCUUACCUUAUCCUCAUCCUCCCUCCCAACUCAGGACAUUCUGUGAUUCUCCCUAAGGACGGAGCAAGGCACACCUUGAACAGCACAUGACACAGGCAGCACUCCUUACGUUUUGCCGCAGAGAAAAUCUUGGCACUGAGAGGGUACCUCAGCACUCAUGGUCCAAUCCCCUCGGCCUUUGGGCUGGCAGUUUUGGACAAGAGAUCCUGUUAGUACUGUUUGUGUCAGGAGUGAGGAGGCUGAUGAAGAGACACACUGGUAAAAAAGCAUGCUGAGAUCACAGCUUCACUUCACAUCCGUAAGCCAGAAGAUGAUGGUAGUU